rnacentral:tRNA from 1 species
UUCCAAGUAGCUCAGUGGUAGAGCGUCCGACUGUUAAUCGGGUGGUCGCAAGUUCGAAUCUUGCCUUGGGAGCCA